rnacentral:lncRNA from 1 species
AACAACAAAAAAACCAGAUUAAAGACAGCAGGUGGAGCCCACAUCAGAAGAUUUCUGUACAGUUUCUUUGAGUGUGGCUUCUUUCACUUGGCGUAAUACAUCUGAGAUCAUCUGUGAUGCCUGAAUAGCUGUUCAUUCCUUUUUCCUGCUGAGUAGUAUUCCAUGAUGAGGCACCUGCUGCUCAAAGAAGUGAAGAAACUUGCUCGAGAUCACGAAGUCAUCAAGUGGAGGAGUUGUAUUUGCACUUAGAUGGUCUCACCCUCCAGUCUUAAACAUUAUUCUGUGUUACCUCCCAAGAAGAGGGGUAUUCCCCACGUGGCUCUGCUGUUAAAGAUAGGAUGAGGUCUCUGGGAAGGAGAUGACCUCCUGAGGGCCAAGCAUGUGAAGAAAGAGGAAGUGGCGGAGGAGCAAGAAGGAGAAGAUAUGGUAAUACUUGACUUUUACAACAUUGUCUAUUCUGAGGGCUAUUAUAUGUGGUCCUCCAAGCAACCCAGUAGAGUGGACAGGAAGGAAAUAUAUCUCUUAAUUUCAGUUUCCUCAGUUAUAAAAUGGGGCACGAGACUUAUUUAAAGUCUCAAAACUAGCAAGUGUCAGAGAGGACUCUAAAACCCAGGUCUCCAGGCUCCAACUUUAGUGCCUUUCCCACCAUAUCAGCCAGCUCACUGCUUAUGACAUAGACUUGAGUAAAGAAACUUCUGGAUGACUUGAUGAUUUCUCUAGAACACUAGUUCUUCAACAGUGUUAAAGGUAUUACACACACACACAUGCACACGCACACACACAUGCACACAUAGGCAUUUCUGUUAAAUAAGUCUGUGGACGCUAGAAUGAGGAAAGGCAAAUAUGCUUCUUUGCCUCAGGACUUCUCGGUGCCUUUUCAGGCUCACUGAACAAGGGAUUUUUUUUAACUCAAUGAAUUUUAUUACAUUUAUAGUUGUACAAUGAUCAUCACAACCCAAUUUUUAUAGCAUUUCCAUCCCAAACCCCCAUCCCCCAACCUGUGUCCUUUGGAAACCAUACAUUUUCAAAGUCUGGAGUCAGUAUCUGUUCUACAAAGAAGUUCAUUGUAUCCUUUUUCUAGAUUCCACAUAUAGGUGAUAGCAUAUGACAUUAGUGGCUCACUAACUUCACUUAGCAUGAUAAUUUCUAAGCCCAUCCAUGUUGCUGCAAAUGUCAUUAUUUCUUUCCUUUUUAUGGCUGAGUAAUAUUCCAUUGUGUAUAUGUACCACCUUCUUUGUCCACGCCUCUGUCAAUGGACAUUUAAGUUGCUUCCAUGUCUUGGCUAUUAAAUACAGUGUUGCAGUGAAUAUUAGAGUACAUGUAUCAUUUUGAGUCAUGGUUUUCUCUGGAUAGAUGCCCAGGAGUGGGAUUGCUGGAUCAAAUGGUAAUUCUAUUUUUAGUUUCUUGAGGAAUAUCCAUACUGUUUUCCAUAGUGGUUCCACCAAUUUACCUUCCCACCAACAGUGUAAUAGGCUUCCCUUUUAUCCAUACCCUCUCCAGCAUUUAUUGUUUGUAGGGAUUUCUUGAUACUAUUCAAAACAGGGAGAAAGGAUACAGUGACGUCUUCUGUUGUGGAAUUCUUUCUUCACGGGUUACCUGGUAAGAACUAGUUUUCUAAGAAACAUGCUUGUAGAAUCCUUGCUUUGAUUUGCAAUUUUCUUCUUUAGCUCCCUCUAAAAACUUCAGAGAGAUGCUUAUGUGACCCGAGGAAGAUAUGGGGGGUGGUAACUCAGUGAUUAGCAGCACAUUUGUUUUUGGGCUGGGUGACCAUCACACCCAGCUCUCUGUUCUUACACAGGUCUGUCCUUCAAAGGCCUCAGAUCUCCAUAGGGGAAGGCUGGCCUGGAGGUCCAGGGCUCUGCUAACCCCUGUGGUGUGACCUUAGGCAAGUCAAGUUCCCACUUUGGACUUUGGAUUCCUGUCCUGUAAAGAGUACGUGCGUCUCACCAAGGCACUCUGUUAAGAUACAGAAUCUAGUUCCUCCCUAGAGAUUGCCAUUCAGUGGGUUUGGGGUGAGGUUUUGGAAUCUGUAUUUAUAAUUGUCAUGCCUGUGAUUUUGGUGUGAAAGCCUGUCUACACUAGGGCCCUGAAGGGAUUUAUUUAGACCAGUGAGGAUCACAGAGAGGGCUCUGAACACAUGAAAGAGAUGAGGAAGUCAGCCCUACACCUCAGGUGAUGUCAAGUGCCCGCCUCCCUGAGAAGCAGCCAUUCUACCCCAGACUCCCAUCAUCCACAUCUUCUUACCUGGGCUUUACUAUUUUUAUUCCUCUCUAUUUGGUAAUUAUUUACUAACAGCUCUCUUGGGGAGAUGGGAGGAAUCCCUUUGUGUAUCUACAAUUCACUACCUAUUAUGAGGCAUUACCAAAAAAAAAAAAA